rnacentral:lncRNA from 1 species
CUGGAGCAGCCUUAAACACGCAGCCAUAAGUGGUGUAUCCCUCCGGAAAACAACCUGCAUCAACCUGGAUAAUAUGAGCAUUCUGAACAGGACUAGGAGCAGCAGCAAUGGGUUGCUGCCCCUUGGAUUUCUUAGCAGGUACUGUUUGAUUAAAAUCAACAACAAAAUCAAGUGCAGCAGUAGCAACAUCAGGGGGAAAGGUAUUAACCAUUUUGAACACCAUUUGAUUCCUAUAAAACCACAUUUUCCACAAAAUAGUGCAAAAUAACUGUGAGCCUAAUUUAUCUUUCUUUUCUAACCAAUUUAAAAGCCAGCUACUAAGAGAGGAGUGUAACGGGACAUGUAACGCUCCUAUUUCUAUUAAAGCAAUUAAACAUGCGAAUAAUACAUUUAUUCAAGAAAUAGAGAUUACGUCUUAUUCAAAAUUCAAAAACCGAUAGACAUGUAUGUAAUUCUCAACAGUUACAGCGGAAUAUAAAUCAGAGUGAUCGAAUAUAUACAUGCCAUGAGCAAAUAAAUCAUAUCCCAAAGAUAAAUCUCAAAACCCAAACAUACGGGUAGUCAACAACAAAAUAAUAAUCCAAAUAAAAAUAUAAACAACCUAAUCUAGACCGACACGACAAGCCUAGAUCAGAGCCGACACGACACCGAUAUCGGAGGAAGCUCCCGAUAUCCCAAGCAAAAACUCACUGAGACUACUCCUGCACAACGUCUACUCACCCAUACAGGCAAGUAGGCGGUUAAAACCACUGGGGGUAAGCAUUACAUUAUCAUAAUCCAGAUAAUAAUCAAAUCAAAUAAUAUCAUGUACUUGAAUAAUAUUAGCCAUGCAUAAACACUUAUACCACAACUUGAUAGUUUGUAUCCACAUAUAUCAAUCACAUGAAUAAUUAUCCAAUCAUAAAUAUUCAUUCACAACAUCAAUCAUAGACAAUCAUUAUCGACAUUCAUUCAUCUCAAAACAUCACCAAUCACCCAAUUCACAUAGGACUCAUGCUAUGAUAUGCACUUAUGGACACAUAAAUGCAUGCGGUACCAAAUCUCAACAAGGUCGUCACCUUUCGAUGCCACUUGCACAUCGAUUGUAAGGGCUCACACCUGCCUUACAAUAAUCUCGAAGUAAAAGAGUCAUCCCCUUUACAGCAACAACGACUAUGAUGCAUGGACAUGUGUAAUGACUCGAUAAUGCGACAACAUUUCUCAAUCUCAACUCAAUACAUAGGACAACACCCAAUUAUAUUGAUUAUCUCCACAACAUUGCAUUACCAAGAGAACAUACCCACACACAGUUAAAUCAUAGUAUUCAUCAUCACACAGACAACUUGAUUAUCAACAAUCAACAAUAUCUUUCACACAAUUCACUUAUCACAUGAAUAAUUCACCACACUAUCUCGGAACGAAACAACUAGAACAAGUCGAACACUAUUAACCAAUCUUAUCCAAUAAUGUCUACAUGAAGUUAAGUCGUCUUCAGACUAUCAUACAAGACCAAGCACAACUUAAGUUCAUCAAGGAGUCCCGUUUUCACAACCUUUCAUUUCCCACUCAAAAUAUCAUUUCACUUUGAUAAUGGUAUUGGCCACCCUUGCAAGCAUCACCUAAGUCUAUAUGAGCUGUAGGUCUACUUGCAAGCCUCAUUGGAUUACAAAAUUUGUUUUCGACAAGGUUUGGAACUCUCAAAAUCUCACAAGUUAAGACUCAUUUCAAAAAUCCCAAGUAUAUGCGAACACUCAUCGUUCCAGCAGGCUUUAGGGAAUUAACAGUGGUUUAACAUGUUUAAAACAUCAUUUAAGAAAACUCGGAUUUGGUCCC